rnacentral:tRNA from 1 species
GGGGAUUUAGCUCAGUGGUUAGAGCGCUUGCCUAGGAAGCGCAAGGCCCUGGGUUCGGUUCCCAGCUCCG